rnacentral:rRNA from 1 species
GACGAACGCUGGCGGCGUGCUUAACACAUGCAAGUCGAACGGAAAGGCCCUGCUUUUGUGGGGUGCCCGAGUGGCGAACGGGUGAGUAACACGUGAGUAACCUGCCCUUGACUUUGGGAUAACUUCAGGAAACUGGGGCUAAUACCGGAUAGGAACUCCUGCUGCAUGGUGGGGGUUGGAAAGUUUCGGCGGUUGGGGAUCGACUCGCGGCUUAUCAGCUUGGUGGUGGGGUAGUGGCUUACCAAGGCUUGGACGGGUAGCCGGCCUGAGAGGGUGACCGGCCACAGUGGGACUGAGAUACGGCCCAGAUUCAUCCGGGCGGCAGAAGUGGGGAAUAUUGCAUAAUGGGCGGAAGCCUGAGGUAGCAACGCCGCGUGCGGGAUGACGGCCGUCGGGUUGUAAACCGCUGUCGCCUGUGACGAAGCGUGAGUGACGGUAAUGGGUAAAGAAGCACCGGCUAACUACGUG